AACGAACGCUGGCGGCACGUUUUAAGCAUGCAAGUCGAAUGGCAGCAGGGGCAACUCUGCGAGAAUGGCGAACGGGUGAGUAACACGUAGGUGAUCUGCCUUGAGGAUGGGGAUAGCCUGUGGAAACACAGGGUAAUACCGAAUGAGCUGACGUGACUUUGGUUAUGUUAGUAAAGGUGCUACGGCACCGCCUUGAGAGGAGCCUGCGGCUGAUUAGCUAGUUGGUGGGGUAAAGGCCUACCAAGGCGACGAUCAGUAGCCGGCCUGAGAGGGUGUACGGCCACACUGGGACUGAGACACGGCCCAGACUCCUACGGGAGGCAGCAGCUAAGAAUCUUCCGGAAUGGGCGAAAGCCUGACGGAGCGAUGCCGCGUGAUCGAUGAAGGUCGAGAGAUUGUAAAGAUCUUUUACAGCUGAGGAAUAAGUCUGGGAGGGAAUGCCCGGAUGAUGACGUUAAGCUGUGAAUAAGCCCCGGCUAAUUACGUGCCAGCCGCCGCGGUAA
rnacentral:rRNA from 1 species